AGUGAACGCUGGCGGUAGGCCUAACACAUGCAAGCCGAACGGCAGCACAGUAAGAGCUUGCUCUUACGGGUGGCGAGUGGCGGACGGGUGAGGAAUACAUCGGAAUCUACUUUUUCGUGGGGGAUAACGUAGGGAAACUUACGCUAAUACCGCAUACGACCUACGGGUGAAAGCAGGGGAUCUUCGGACCUUGCGCGAUUGAAUGAGCCGAUGUCGGAUUAGCUAGUUGGCGGGGUAAAGGCCCACCAAGGCGACGAUCCGUAGCUGGUCUGAGAGGAUGAUCAGCCACACUGGAACUGAGACACGGUCCAGACUCCUACGGGAGGCAGCAGUGGGGAAUAUUGGACAAUGGGCGCAAGCCUGAUCCAGCCAUGCCGCGUGGGUGAAGAAGGCCUUCGGGUUGUAAAGCCCUUUUGUUGGGAAAGAAAAGCAGCAGGUUAAUACCCCGCUGUUCUGACGGUACCCAAAGAAUAAGCACCGGCUAACUUCGUG
rnacentral:rRNA from 1 species